rnacentral:rRNA from 1 species
UACGUAGGGUGCGAGCGUUGUCCGGAAUUACUGGGCGUAAAGAGCUCGUAGGUGGUUUGUCGCGUUGUUCGUGAAAACUCACAGCUCAACUGUGGGCGUGCGGGCGAUACGGGCAGACUGGAGUACUGCAGGGGAGACUGGAAUUCCUGGUGUAGCGAUGGAAUGCGCAGAUAUCAGGAGGAACACCGGUGGCGAAGGCGGGUCUGUGGGCCGAUACUGACGCUGAGGAGCGAAAGCGUGGGGAGCGAACAGG